CCUACGGGGGGCUGCAGUGGGGAAUUUUUCGCAAUGGGCGCAAGCCUGACGAAGCAACGCCGCGUGGAGGAUGAAGGUCUUCGGAUUGUAAACUCCUGUCGACCGGGACGAAUGCACUCGACCUAAUACGUCGGAAUGUUGACGGUACCGGUGGAGGAAGCCACGGCUAACUCUGUGCCAGCAGCCGCGGUAAUACAGAGGUGGCAAGCGUUGUUCGGAAUUACUGGGCGUAAAGGGCGCGUAGGCGGCCUUGUAAGUCUCGUGUGAAAGCCCUCGGCUUAACUGAGGAUCUGCACGGGAUACUGCGAGGCUUGAGUUCGGGAGAGGAAAGCGGAAUUCCGGGUGUAGCGGUGAAAUGCGUAGAUAUCCGGAGGAACACCAGUGGCGAAGGCGGCUUUCUGGACCGACACUGACGCUGAGGCGCGAAAGCUAGGGGAGCAAACGGGAUUAGAUACCCCGGUAGUC
rnacentral:rRNA from 1 species